GUGGAAAUAUAUUACAUCGCUGAUGAAUUCUGGAAUACAUACAUUGUACUCGACAGAAAAAUAAUAAACAGGUCUAGAACAGACUAAAUACUGCUAGAACUACUGUUAUACAACUAAGUUGCUGAUAAGCUGAACUAGUACUGGAUUACUAGUGUAGAGAUCAAGCAAAUAGCAAAUAAACAAACAGCCACGGUACUGUUGGUGCCAUGAUUCCCUGCCGAUGCACAUGGCCUUGUAAAGGCGGUCAUACUAGUCAAUCUAAAGGAUAAGGAGAGAGACCAGGGAAAGAAAUCCCAUGCAACUCAUCCCCAAUCCUCGCGAAGACACAACCAGGCGGAGAACACCAGGUCGGCCGGCCGCAUCAUCGGCGGCGAGCAAAACUCCCGCCGCGCUCGUCCUCACAUGAAGAACCACCGGGGAGAUGGGAGCCCGAGCGCCGCGGGCUCCGCGUGCCGGAGUGGCCGUUCGACGGCAAGCACGCCAGUGGGACGCCGAGGGCCAAGAGGCGGCGGCGAACUUCCACGCGCGGCAAGGGCGGGUGGGUGGCCGGAGUCGGGGACAGCAGGCACAGCGGCGUGGCAGCGUCGCCCGGGACGCGCGCAACCGUCGGCAACCUCUGAAGCGGUGCGUCGCCGACAGCCUCAACAACCGCUGGAGUCUGAUGCUGCAGCGGCGCGGCCCCGACGGUUCCAACCUCCUGAGGCGCUGCUACCACCAGGUCAAACUACCCAUCCAUGCGCUGAGCACCAAAACGGCGGCGGCGGAGCCACCAGUGCCGGAUCGAUGCCCCCAUCGGCCUCGAGCCUUGGUGCAGCCGGACCGGCGAAAAGCCGGGCGGGCACAUCGGGCUGCACGGGCUGGUUCGAGGGCCCCGCGCCGUGCCGGUGGUUGCGACGGAGGUUCUGACGGCGCUGGUUCCAACCUCCACGCCGGAAGCGGCGGAGGUCGCGCACAUGACGCUGGAAGUGGCGGUGUCGGCCAACACCAUGGCGGCGGUGGCGAGCGACGAAGCGGUGGCCACGGCCAUUGACGCGAAGGAGGCGAAGAAACAGGGACAUUGGAACUCGAGGCAUGGUUCCAUUUCUCACCUUUUCUCUGUUUUUCUUGUCUUCUCGUCGGAAUCGCUCUCGCCGGAGAGCAUGCCGAUAACCUGUUGGAACUAAUCGAGAGGCAAAUCGAGAGACAACAAUGAAUCAAACUAUACUUUAUUGAUGAUGAUUGUACACUUAUAUACAUAGGGAACAGACGUUUUGGAGGGAUGCGACCGCUCGUAGAGGCGCCGUUUCAGGAACUGCCGUGACACUUCGCUGGAGUCCUGGUACCGUACGCGAUGUGUAGGAAGCGGGGAUUAUCCCGUAAUAACCGCCAGGGUUAUUUAUUUUUAACACUUUCGAC
rnacentral:rRNA from 1 species